UAAAGUGGCGCACGGGUGAGUAACACGUGGAUAAUCUGCCUCUAUGAUGGGGAUAACAGUUGGAAACGACUGCUAAUACCGAAUACGCUCAUGAUGAACUUUGUGAGGAAAGGUGGCCUCUGCUUGCAAGCUAUCGCAUAGAGAUGAGUCCGCGUCCCAUUAGCUAGUUGGUGGGGUAACGGCCUACCAAGGCAACGAUGGGUAGCCGAUCUGAGAGGAUGAUCGGCCACACUGGAACUGAAACACGGUCCAGACUCC
rnacentral:rRNA from 1 species